CCGAGCUGCGGCGUCCCUCGCGGCCCAACCUCCCACCCUUGUAUUCUAUACACCUGUUGCUUUGGCGAGGCCACUGGGCCCCCUGGUAGGGGGCCUGUCCCGGCCGCGCCGUCGAAGGCCUCUGAAAACCCUGUUCGUCAGUGUCGUCUGAGCGUGAUAUAAUAGUUA
rnacentral:misc_RNA from 1 species